GUUACAAUCUUGAUGAGCUAGUUACAAAAUUCAAUAUAAGUCGUCACAUCAACAAUGGGUUCGAGAUCGACCUCAAGUACAGGUUCUAAAAGGACACACUGUGUUUAUUACUGCUUGGAGGCUCCCGUGUGUGCUGUGUAGGCCCGUGUAGGCCCGUGUAGGCCUGUGUAGGCCCGUGUAGGCCUGUGUAGGCCCACACUCGGCAUCAGGAGUGAGAGACGGCGUCUGUGGUAGACAAUAGAGUGAUCAAUACCGCCAGGGUGAGAGUUGAGGGACAAUACCAGGGGGGCCGGAGUGUCCCAACCUGCACCUCUCUCCUCCUACAGUAACACACACCUCAAGGGGCGCCUCGUUGUACCAGGGUCUGCACUUGAUUCCUGAUGGUGCAAGUGGUUGGGCACUGUUCCUUCACACCGUCCUCAUAUCCCAGCACUUAGCCUGUCUUCAUAUCUCUUCAAAGUGUUAUAAUAUAGUUAUAGUGGCUUAGUGCUCUCUCACGAUAAUAAUCUUGCCAUACCAUCGCACUUUGUGUUAACAGUUCAUUCCAGAUCUAUGCUUUGGUGCAAUUUGGUUCAGUUUUUAAUAUUUAUAUUAAUAAAACAUACAAGUAGUAAACAGAUGGAUAAAUACAAGAGUUCAUGCUAAGCUAUAAUAGUGUUCCCUUUGCAGAUAUUCACAACAGUAUUUUCUGACAAGAUUAUACAGUAGUGGAAUUUAAUGUUCAAUGUAUCACAAAGAGAGUUUAUCUAUAGCAGACAACAUAAAUGAAAUCUUGUAUAGAAAGAUGGUCUAAAUCUCUUUUUUUUUUUUUAAAUCUCUCUCAAUUCGUCAAGGCUUUAUAUUAGGGAAGCUAUAUUAGUAUUUAGUGUUUAAAAAUCAUUGCAUAUAAAUACGUUUGGUAAAACAUACAAUGAAUCAAGCCAGAAUGACAUCACAUCAAUGUACAGAAUGCUCAAAAAACUUUAAACGUAAAUCAUAUCUAGUUCGACAUAUGAGAGUUCAUACAGGGGAGAAACCAUAUCAGUGUUCAGUGUGUUUAAGAAGCUUUACAGAAAUGUCAAAUCUAGUACAUCAUAGGAGACUUCAUUCAGGAGAGAAACCAUAUCAGUGUUCAGAGUGUCUGAAAAGCUUUAUUCAAAACUCUCAUCUUAUAAAUCACAUGAGAGGUCAUUCAGGACAGAAACCAUAUCUGUGUUCAGUGUGUCUAAAAUGCUUUCCACAAAAGUCAACUCUGAAAGCUCAUUUGAAAAUUCAUUCAGAAGAUAAGCCAUUUCACUGUUUACAUUGUCUAAAAGUUUUUUCACGAAAGCCGUAUCUAGUAAAUCACAUGAGAGUUCAUUCAGAGGAGAAACCAUAUCAGUGUUCAGAGUGUCUAAAGGACUUUAAACAUAAGUCAACUCUUGUACAUCACAUGAGAAUUCAUUCAGGAGAAAAACCUUACCAAUGUUCAGAGUGUCAAAAAGCUUUUUUAAAAAAGUCAUAUUUAGUACUUCACCUGAGAGUUCAUACAGGAGAAAAACCGUAUCAGUGUUCAGUGUGUCUGAAAGUUUUUUCACAUAAAUCGGCUCAAGUACGUCACAUGAGAGUUCACACAGGAGAGAAAUUGUAAAUGUUUGGGCUUUAUGAGCUAGGGUCCCUUCACAGGAAUGUUCCCACUCAUAAUGCAAGGACUAUAAGUGUGUGUUAGUUAACUUAUUGUUGGAAAAUAAAUCUCCCCAAUUCUA
rnacentral:lncRNA from 1 species